AGUGAACGCUGGCGGUAGGCCUAACACAUGCAAGUCGAACGGCAGCACAGUAAGAGCUUGCUCUUACGGGUGGCGAGUGGCGGAUGGGUGAGGAAUACAUCGGAAUCUACUUUUUCGUGGGGGAUAACGUAGGGAAACUUACGCUAAUACCGCAUACGACCUACGGGUGAAGGCAGGGGAUCUUCGGACCUUGCGCGAUUGAAUGAGCCGAUGUCGGAUUAGCUAGUUGGCGGGGUAAAGGCCCACCAAGGCGACGAUCCGUAGCUGGUCUGAGAGGAUGAUCAGCCACACUGGAACUGAGACACGGUCCAGACUCCUACGGGAGGCAGCAGUGGGGAAUAUUGGACAAUGGGCGCAAGCCUGAUCCAGCCAUGCCGCGUGGGUGAAGAAGGCCUUCGGGUUGUAAAGCCCUUUUGUUGGGAAAGAAAAGCAGCAGGUUAAUACCCCGCUGUUCUGACGGUACCCAAAGAAUAAGCACCGGCUAACUUCGUG
rnacentral:rRNA from 1 species